GACUAUAAAAGAACUCCCUUCAGCGUAGUCAGGGAGAUUGCUAAGCAGCAGUUGUUGGCUGAGAGACUCAUUGUGGGGAAGGCACCAAAAGGAAAUGGCAGCAGCUGUUGGAACUCUCCCAGUAAAAGGAAGACUUGAAGGGUUCUUCUGGCUGAAAAAGGUUAGAAGAAGGAGGUGGCCUAUGAAAGGCUGUGGAUGAGUCCUGCAGAGGAAAGAACCUUAGGAGGGGAGGACUCUAUGGUUUUUCUGCAUGGCUAAACCACAUCAAAAUAACAGAUGGGAAACUGAGGCCUGGUGUACCCUACCAGCAGGAAUCUGCAGCCUAGAGGGUAAACUGAGGCAUUCUGAAUCCUAAUGCUGGAAAGGUCUGAGCCAGCCUAAAGUUGAUGGGAUUCAGAACCGAAUGAAAAUAAAUAACUUGCAUGGCGGAGUACACCAAACAAGGAGAUGUGACUCUAUUCCUGAAUAAGUGACUAGCAGUACCCAUGGAAAAUAUAACUUUCACCUCAGUGUGGCACUUCCAUGACAACAUCUCCUCGGAUAUGGCAAUGCCUAGAAACAUACUUGCAAUUUGGAUCUAGCUAUGUAUUGUCCCUCUACUCCUGCCCUUUUAACUCUCUGAUUGCUCAAUUGGCUGAAUGGUCUAAUGCACCGCUUUGAACAGAGUUGUUGUAUCCACUCCCUGCUUCCUAGACUCUUUGACUCUUCCAAUGCCCACCAGUGACUAUUCUCCCAGUAAAUUCUCCAUUCUGUAUGCAUAUAGGGAUUAAUUUUUUUCAUUUGGAAGAGCAGGAUAAUCAUCUUACUUCAUUGUAUGAGCUCAUAGUUCAGCUACAUGGAGUUGAAAUUUAGUUCUCCAAAUGUCUGGUAUGUGUCAAACAAUAUAAAAUUCUGUUAUAUGGCUGUAGAUUUUUGUUGUGCAGUUGAAUGGGUAUUCUUCCACUCUCCCAGAUUAUCCUACAUCCUAAUCUGUCAUCAGUAGUAUGGUAAAAAAUUCUGGGCACCUCUUUCCAAGUAGAUAGACCCCAAGAUGGAAACUCUCACAGUUGCUGACCUCUUUCUUCCUAGUGGAUAUAAAAUUGAAUUCCUCCUUUACCUAAUCCAAUUUACAUAGUCCUUUGUACUCUGCUCCCAAGAGAAACCAGGGAGAAGAAGUAAAAUGAAUUGAAGGUCAGCAAAUACAGGCUCUGCUAGACUUAGAAUUAGCUAAUCAAAAUUUUUCACACACAGCUUUUUUCAAAAAGGAACACAACCUGCCCUUUGUUCAAACAAAAGUUUUCACUAAAAAUUGUCAUCAAAAUAUUUUAAUUUAUUACAAUGUUUUUGAACUUUUUUAUAUAAAAAUUUACUGAAAAUUGCAUUUUCUUACUGAAAACUCACUUUCAGAAAACAAAAGUUAAGAAAUGACUUUGGGGUAAAAAUGUAGUGGAAACAACUUCAAAAUGUGUCAGUUCCAACAGUGAACACAUUCAGGGAAAAAUAUUAUUUUUAAAGCAAAUAAUUUCAGUACUUCUGCUGAUCUCAACUUCCAUGAUAUUUCACAAGAUGGUCACUGAGGUACCCAGGACCUAAACAGUUUAGAUCAUUAUGGAUUAAAAUGAACAUUAAAUUGCACAUGGAAAAUAGCUAGAAGCCAGUGCAGACUCUGGAGUUCAGAUGUAAUAUACUCCCUUUCAGAAAUAUAGCUUAACAAGUGGGCUGCUACAUUCUGCACUAGGGGCUUGCUCCAAAGUCCAUUGUAGUUAAUGGAAAGGUUCCCAUUGGUUUAAAUAUGCCUUGGAUCAAGGUCUAGCUGAGCUUGUCAAACAGUAUUUGUUGCAUGUUUUCCACCUAAUGUAUUUAAUACUCCCCUUCACCUCCCCGCCAAUAACAUAAAAAUGUCUGAUCUUUCUCUUCAGAAGCUGUACCCAGCUCUGAUAAAGAGGAGAGAUGAGAUCUUUACUUUGAAACUCCACUGGCAGUUUUGCUAAUUAUGUCUGCAUUGGGUUGCUCACACAUGUAUUCAAUUUGGUGUCAAAGAUGAUGAUGGGCAGAGCAAUCAAGUGACUAGAAUCUAUGGAGAAAUGGGGAUGGAUUUUCAAGUUCUACAGUGUUGGGGUACAGACAGGGACUUCUGAUGACUCAGUAUCAAGUCGAAAAUAACAUUCUUUAGCUUUCCUUGAAGUUGCUCUAAGUGCCAUAAUGGAGGAUCCUGUCUAUUUACAAAUGUGAAUAACGACGUGUUCUUACCAAAGGUGGAUAACCAUGUGUAAUAUUUUUGAAAAGGAUAAACAAGUUCAUCCAACUAGACUUAUUCUCUACUUCUCCUAUUCCGCUGGAAGUCUAACCCCACUCCUUCAAGCAAACUGAGAAAUGCUGAAUAAUCACUGUAUGUUCACUGUUGGAUAUUUCUUUGUCCAUUUCCAAUUACUGUGUACCGAUAUUUAUUUAACUUUGUUGAAAUGAGACACACUGUACACAGUGACCUUGCUAAAGAUGAAGGAUAGCCUAGUAGUGAUGAGUAACAUCAGAAGGAUUUUGAUUCAUAUUCUGAAUGUUAGUAUAUCUUGUUAGUAUAUCUUCUGCUUGGACUUUUUCCAAAGUCAGCUUUCAGCUAGUCUAAAUUUCAUCCACAAACC